GUUUUCUAGAUUAGACAUGCAAUAUAAUUGUAAUGAUAAAGAGAAGAUUAUCAUGGCCCUUUUCUAAGGAUGAUUAACGAUUAAGAGUCCAAAUAUUAUU